rnacentral:ncRNA from 1 species
UUCUUAUCAAGAGAAGCGGAGGGACUGGCCCGAUGAACCUUCAGCAACCGGAUUACCCAAAAACUUUGGGUACCAAGGUGCUAAAUCCAGCGAUGCGUAAAUUUGCGCUCGGAAGAUAAGAA